rnacentral:rRNA from 1 species
GUUUGAUCCUGGCUGAGGAUGAACGCUGGCGGCGUGCUUAACACAUGCAAGUCGAACGAUGAUCUCCAGCUUGCUGGGGGGAUUAGUGGCGAACGGGUGAGUAACACGUGAGUAACCUGCCCUUGACUCUGGGAUAAGCCUGGGAAACUGGGUCUAAUACCGGAUAUGACCAUCUGGCGCAUGUCAUGGUGGUGGAAAGCUUUUUUGUGGUUUUGGAUGGACUCGCGGCCUAUCAGCUUGUUGGUGGGGUAAUGGCCUACCAAGGCGACGACGGGUAGCCGGCCUGAGAGGGUGACCGGCCACACUGGGACUGAGACACGGCCCAGACUCCUACGGGAGGCAGCAGUGGGGAAUAUUGCACAAUGGGCGCAAGCCUGAUGCAGCGACGCCGCGUGAGGGAUGACGGCCUUCGGGUUGUAAACCUCUUUCAGUAGGGAAGAAGCGUAAGUGACGGUACCUGCAGAAGAAGCGCCGGCUAACUACGUGCCAGCAGCCGCGGUAAUACGUAGGGCGCAAGCGUUAUCCGGAAUUAUUGGGCGUAAAGAGCUCGUAGGCGGCUUGUCGCGUCUGCUGUGAAAGACCGGGGCUCGACUCCGGUUCUGCAGUGGGUACGGGCAGACUAGAGUGCAGU